GGCAGUUUCUAAGAGCUGGGGACCACCUGACUGCCAUUCCUCUGUGUCCCUUGUCCUUUCCCUGCCUCCAGGAUGCUAUGUGUGUGGACAAAAGUUCUGAUGAUGACCCUGCUAGUGCUGAAUUCCCUAGUGGCUGCAGGCAGAGAAACUCCAGAGCACUUUAUGGAGCAGAUGAAGGCUGAGUGUCACUUUGGCAAUGGGAUUGAGCACGUGCGGUUUGUGGGGAGACUCAUCUACAACCUCCAGGAGAUCUUGCGCUUCGACAGUGAUGUGGGGGAGUUCGUGGCCUUGACGGAGCUGUGGCGGCCCAUUGCAGAGCUAAUGAAUAGCCUGGUGGAGGCCCUGGAGCAAGCGCGGGCCCAGGUGGCCAUGUGCAGGGACAACUAUAGGUUGUUGGAGUCCUGGAUGCAGAAGAAGGUUGAGCCUCAAGUGACUGUGUAUCCAUCAAAGAUUGCUACCCUAGAAUACCCAAACCAGCUUAUCUGUUUUGUUACUGGUUUCUAUCCUGGGGACAUUGAGGUAAGGUGGUUCCUGAAUGGUCAGGAGGAGACAUUUGGGGUUAUGUCCACAGGCCUGAUUAGCAAUGGAGACUGGACCUACCAGAUCCUGGUGAUGCUGGAAAUGAUCCCCAAGUAUGGACAAGUCUACACCUGCCAAGUGGAGCACUCCAGCCUUCAGAACUCUGUCAUUGUGGUCUGGGAAGCACCGUCCAGCUCUGACCAGAGAAAGAUGCUGAGUGGACUUGGGGGCCUUGUGCUAGGGCUGAUCUUCCUUGGGGUUGGCCUCGCUGUUCACCUUAGGAGUCUGAAAGGUUUUGAAACUAAGUAACACCUUGGACACUGAAAGGGGAAGAAGUGAUGCUGCUUAUGGGCUCAAAGCCCUGCAAGUGAUUCACCACUGUCUUCUGAUAGUCUCCAUCUGACCCCUGAGGCUGUGUGUCCCCUGGAGCUGGUACUUCUCCCCCCAGCAUCUCUCCCAAACAUGGAAGCCACCUGUCUGUACCACAAGAAGAAGAAACAGGUUCACAGAACAAUUUCCCAAGAUUUCAUGAGCAAGUCAGUGGAAGAUCCAGGACUAUAACCAAGCUCUUCUGUUGUAUGAUCCAAAGCUUUCCCAGUGUGGCCCCAUUGUCCACAGAGAUGUUGCCCUGUGUAUCAGAGCUGGGGGCAUCUCCCAAGUGAGGCUUAUGCAAGUUGGUGUAACAGAUCACCCCACCUCAAACUUCUCCUAUCCUGGCCCUGCUUUGAAGGCAGAUGGUCCCUGUAAGAUGACAAAAAUAUACCAGAGUACAGAAAAGUGGGGUAAUGUGGAGAAUGGCAUGAAGGUUGGGGUGGAUGACUGGUUGGAGAAAUGGAGCUAGAUAUGAGAAGUGUGAGCAGGAGAUUGGAGGGGAAAGGGAAGGAACAAAGAUGAAGAAAAGGCUCAGGGUAAUAUUCUGGAGAGAAGAAAGGUCAAAAAGGAGAGAGGAACAGCACUAUUCUCAUGUACACACCACACAAUCUACAAUUCUUUGAAGAAAGUAUCACCACCGCUCAUGUGAGAGCCCCAUGGAGUCUUCCAUGACAUUAAUCUGAGAGGUGACUCUGAAGAAUGCAGCAUCACAAGGUCCUUUUACAAAAAUUGACCAUGUAUUUUUGGCAUAGAGAAAUUACAAAUAAAUGUCAAAAGGCAGAAAUACUAAACACACCCUUUGCCAGUCAUAGCAUCAUAAGAAAAAUCACCAAUUCAGGAGGAAAGAAACAGACCUAAAUGAAGACUUCAUAAUAAAAUCCUGAAUAAUGAGUACAUAGAAGAACAAGUCAUAGAAAUAAUAAUUACAUGAAAAACCGAUGGUGAGACAACAUACGAAAAUUUCCAAAUGCAACUAAAGCAGUCCUCAGAAUAAAUAUGAUUUCCUUAAAAAUAUAAACUUUAAAAACAGAUCAACCAAAUAUGUAUUUUAGCCUUCAAAAAGUCAUCAAAUAAAUCCAAAAUAAAUAUGAAGUGUAUAUCUUCAAAAUCAGAGGAGAAAAAGAUGAGUAGUAAACCAAAAUCAUUCUAGAACUGAUUAAUAAAACUGAAGGUCAAUGUUUUGAAGACAACUAAAAUUUCUAUCUUUUAGCCAGCCUAAUUAAAAGGAAGAUGUCAGAGACAGUGCUUAUUUAGGGGUAGAGAUAAUUCAAUUUCCAUGUUUUUUAAUUCUCUACUGUGGUUAGAUUACCAUAAGCUUGGGGAGAGUGGAAUAGACAAGAGAUUUGACUCUGAGACUCCAUGCAUUUUCAAUGACUGUCUCCCUUACCUGGAAUUCUCUCUGUCUUUUUCCCACUACAUAUAAUCCUCUAUUCAUCUGUCCAACUGCUCUUCUUAAAGGGCAAUUUGGACCAUAUACCCCCCCCAUCCCAUUCAAUAUGUUCAAGUGCAUCCGUGUUGUCUGCAGAAUCCAACAUAAAAUCCUGUUUGGCUUUAAAGCCCUUCACCAUUACACCCUUCCUACCUUUCUAGUCAUGAAUCCCUUCCCUCCUCCCCUACCUCCAUGAACCCUACAAUCCAGUGAAAUUGGACUCCUUACUGCUUUUCUCAUGUGACACUCUACCUCCCAACUCCCAAGUUUUCACUGGUUGUCCACCAUGCCUGGAACAGUCUUUUUCAUCUCUACUUCCUGACUUUCCUAGCUUCAUUCAAGCAUCAGAUAAAGUCCCCCUUUCUGCAAGAAACCUUUCUAAGGCCUCCUUCAUUUUCACACCUUCCCUCUGAGAAGACCCCCCAUUUUCUUGUAUAUAUCUUCUUUGUGCACAGUUGUUUGCAUGCUGUCUCUCUCAUUAGAUUGUGAGCUCCUUGAGGGCAGGCUGUUUUUGUCUUUCUUUGUAUUUCCUAUUCUUUUCACAAUACAUGGUGCACAGUAGGUACACAAUGCAUACUUGUUGACUUUCAUAAUCUGCCCUUCAUAGAAUUUUAUUAUUUCUAUUGCAGUAGUACAUGUGAUUGGUGAGGUAGGCUAGUACUAGUGUGGCAGCAAUAGGAAUGGAAAAGAGGGAAUGAUUCAGUGACAUUAAAGUGGUAGAACUGAUUGGGUGUGAGGAAAGAGGGAGAGAGGGAAAGUUCAAGUUCAUUCUCCCAGAACUCCUGUUUUCUGCAUUCCCCUCCUGGGUGGAGUCUGACUCUAAGGAAUUUUACACCUUGCCUCAGUGGCCCUCUCACCCUGGAACUUCCCUCAUGGUCUAGGACCUUCUGACCCUGAAAUAUCCUUGUGUCAUGUUAGCCUCCUCUUUCCAUUGGUGAGAUCCUUUUGCGGGUCUCCAUUUGGAACAUGGACCUAGGCCAGUUAUGCUUCCUUUCACUCCAUCCUCUGCUUCUGACUCUAUGAAUUUUGCCACCAUUCCUAUAUCUAAGUACUUCUUUCUCCCCAUUUUAUUUAUUUUCUUCUGCAUUAGAUUGUAAGCUCCUCAAGAGUUAGGACUAUCUUUCUUUUGUCUUCUUUAUGUCCCCGCUACAAUGACUGCCUGGCAAAUAAUAAGUCCUUAAUGCUUAUUCUUAGACACUUACCUUUCUCCAUGAUGACUUUUUCAAUAUAUGUUUUAGGCAUAGUAUUCAAGCAAAGGCACUGCAAAAUUUCUGUUAGGGAUCUGUAAGGAUGUAGAGGGCCACAGACAGUUCACGAGAUCUCACUGAAGGGCUGAGGCCCCUCUCAGGUGUUGGUCCAUGAGCCUUAAAGAUUGCCUGGUUCAGUGCUCCAUUCUAUGCAUCUCUAACUUCCCUAGUUACUCAUUAGUCAUUAACAGUGUAUUUGUGAUUGGU